UGGGGAAUCUUGGACAAUGGGCGCAAGCCUGAUCCAGCCAUGCCGCGUGAGUGAAGAAGGCCUUCGGGUUGUAAAGCUCUUUUACCAGGGACGAUAAUGACGGUACCUGGAGAAUAAGCCCCGGCAAACUUCGUGCCAGCAGCCGCGGUAAUACGAAGGGGGCUAGCGUUGUUCGGAAUUAUUGGGCGUAAAGGGCGCGUAGGCGGGAGUAUAAGUCAGAUGUGAAAUACCUGGGCUCAACCUGGGAACUGCAUUUGAUACUGUACUGUCUAGAGUGGAGUAGAGGGCAGUGGAAUUUCCGGUGUAGCGGUGAAAUGCGUAGAUAUCGGAAAGAACACCAGUGGCGAAGGCGACUGCCUGGACUCCAACUGACGCUGAGGCGCGAAAGCGUGGGGAGCGAACAGGAUUAGAUACCCCCGUAGUCCCUGAGCGGGCUGGCAAGGCGCAU
rnacentral:rRNA from 1 species